ensembl:lncRNA
CUGCGGGAGAGGUCCUUGUCUCGUAUCCCGACCACAAUACGAUCAUGAAUAUUUUCCUCUUUACAUGCACCAAACUCACAGUGCUCUGAGAGGUCAUACAGGGCUCGGAUAAAACUUUCCGCCGUUUCACCUGGCCGCUGGACACGCUGGUGAAAACAUGCUCUCUCAUGUAUAAUGUUCCUCUGCGGGAAAAAAUACUCGUCGAACUUCCUCAUUACGACGGCGAAGUCGUCACGACUUUCAUCGGCGGCGAAGCCUCUGAAACCCACCUACCAAGUUCUCCUGGAUACCAGUUUGCUGCCGCCGGUAAUCCCUCUCCGUUUUGGAACUGCCAUUCUCUCCUGCCUGCCUCCCUGCAUUGCAUACAGCACCCACCUGGACCUCUCCUGCCUCCCCCCUCCACGCAACCCCACCUGCAAGCUUUGCCCUGGCCCGCCACAGUUUCCCCUGCCCAGUACCUGUACCCAGUUAUCCCUGCCAUCUAGUUAUCAUCACAGUAUUUUCUCUCGCCUCAGACAUCUAGUUUAUGUUCAUUGAUUCUAGUCUGCACUUUCUGUUAGCCUCU